CCAAGCACAUUCUCAAUUAGCAUCCCUGUCCCAGCAACAAAAAUGCUACAAUCUGCAAUUGUAUCAAUCCUGUCCUAUUGCUCAUUUAGGUCAGUUCAAAAUUUACAGUGAAAAUAUCUAUAAAUAUCCUGAAACACCUCCAGAUUAUGUAAUGUUUUAGAAUCAAUAGAGUGCCUAGUCUUUGAAGUGCUGCCUGAACCUUUGUCCACUGCUUCUUCCUCUGGCUCUAACUCUCAUGAUGUGUGUGGUUGCAGUGCGGUGAGGAUGUACACUAAGGACCCAGGUUGUAGAAGGUAAGUGAAGUUUUACUGAUAAUUCAGCUCUCAUACAGUCCAGGAAGCUGGCAGCAUGGCAGAGUGGGGAGCGAGAGCUCAGCAGCGGUAGCAACAGUACAGCUGGAACGAAAGCCGGCGUUGACACAGGACUAACAGUUCUACUAUGACCACUAAUUAAACUGAACAGACACUCAGGACUUCACAGUUCUACUGAGAUGACUGGCAUACGACACAACGAUUGUGAAAGACAAGUCACAACAAGGAUCCGACGAGGAACAAAGGAAACAGGUGGGUUUAAAUACACAGGGAGGGUAAUCAGGGAACAAGGCACACAUGGGAAACAAUCAAGGGAGGAAGAGACAGGACAACACAGGGACUCACAGGAACACAGAUCUAAAUAAACACAGAAAACCUAGACUAAACACAC